AGUACACAUGAUGAACAACAAGGGACUUAAUACUGAAUAUUUUUUGAUGUCAGCUUUCAUUACUCUGAUGUGC